ACAGUUGUUGCAAAGUGCUCAGCACUAAGGGAGCCAGCGCACAGCACAGCCAGGAAGGCGAGCGAGCCCAGCCAGCCCAGCCAGCCCAGCCAGCCCGGAGGUAAGGAAACGGUGCUCGGGCAGCAGCUCUGCUCGGAAAGAAGGCACGGCUUCUGCUCUUAAGCCAAGUGGUCUUUUCAAAGGCCUUCUUUAAAAUCGCUCAGAUGGGUGCUUUUGAGUCUGCGGGUCUGGUUUCUGAAAACCCAGGCUGCACGCAGCUGCAUUGCAAAGUGCUUUUGCUAAUUCGGAGGGCUUCACCUUUCUCUUCAGAAAGCAAAGGGCAGUUUUCUUAAGUCACUUGCAGAAGGAAAUUUCCAUGUGUAUUUAGGAAUCUGGUGUUUAUUUGCUGUGUGGCUAUUUAAGCUCCAGUAAGCAGGGGAACUUUGCAAGAACACAGACUAUCCAUUCUGCCUGACCAAUUUGGCAUGGGGAUUAGCUUGGCACCCACUGUUUACCUGUUUUGCUUCUAGUAUAUCAGUUUGGAAACAGAUAAAAUUGGCAGUAAAUACGUAAUUCCAGAAUGAUGAACACUUUAUUAAGAGGCAUCCUUAAAUGGAGCAGAAAACUGCUGAGAAUCUUUGUGAGUCCAAGAUGUAUUUGAAUUCAGUACUUUGGGGGAUUUACCAGAGUCUGUAAGUCCGGAAGCUAUAAACGUGAAUGUUAAACACAGCCCGGUCUUCUCUUCUCUUGAUGGCACGCUUGCUAAUCUAAUUUGAGUAUUGUUCUCUUAGAAGGUGUUAAGUCCAACUUCAAUUGGGGUUGGGGGAAGCACACACACAAAUCUACUAUUUUGCAAUUUAAAUAUACUCUUCAGGUAAAAUGUGGAUUUUGUUCAAUUUUGUUGGCAUGUGCAAAGAUUCAAGGAGUGACUGAGAGAACUUUGGAGUGAGGUCAGGGAUGGGUGGUUAGCCAAGACUUGUAACUUCCAGGGAGAAUGAGAAGUUGUAAAAGUCAGACUGGCUGUCUCUCUUUCUCUCUUCCUCUUUCUUUCUUUCUUUCUUUCCUUUUGCUCACAACAGGAUUACUUAGUGUUUCAAAAGUGGGAGAGAGCCUCCUUAAAUGGUUUACAGCCCUUUGAAUGUAUUUGGUGCAGUGACAUCCCCUGAAACUUCAGUCUGCAAAGUCUCAACAUGGUAACUUUGUUCUUUUCUUUUUUAAAGGCAGAUGCUGCUUUUAGUGUCCCUUUAUUUAUUCCAGGAAAAAUGUGGACAUCAGCUAGGCACGCCUAGCAAAGAAAGUGGAGGCUGCUGGUUUCUGUGCUUUAACUUUCCAUAGAUUUUAAAUGGAUAAACUGCUUGCCCUUCUUUCAUCAGAAUAUGAGCUUUCCCCAGAUGGAAAGUCUUUUCUAAAGCAAAGUUGCACAUGGGAGCUCUAGCUUGGAAACAAUUUGCUCUUUUUUCCCCAGUCUCUGCCAUAAACACUUGAAUGUGCACACAACUGCAGAGCUUAAUGCCACAACCUCCAGGAGAUUGGGGGGAGGGGAAAGCUGCCCAGGAUGGGGGUGGGAAAGCGAAGGAAGAUGGAGAAAUGGCUGCAGUUUGCUGCCCAUCAGCUUUUCUCUUUUAAGGGGCAGACAUUGCAGACGUAGUUUUAAAAAAGUUCCAUAAAGCAUCGCCAAGGCAGCAUGCCUGUGCGACACACGCAGGGCUUUGGGGGUGUGUUUUCCCCGUAUUAACAGCAAGUCGUUGAAGCGUUGAGAAGGUAUUAUGAUUUCUAAUCAGGCCCAGAACAGGCCAAGUAUAGGCUUUCUGAAUG
rnacentral:lncRNA from 10 species